rnacentral:rRNA from 1 species
CCCUUAGAUGUCCUGGGCGGCCCGCGCGCUACAAUGUCAGCUACUGAAGGUUAAUGCUUUGAAAGAGAGCGCGCUCUCCUUUUAAUUGCUCGCAUGCUGGGAUAAAUGAAUGCAAUUUUGUUUUGAACGAGGAAUUCCUAGUAGCCAUGUUUCACUAGAAGAUGGCGAAUGCGUCCCUGCCCUUUGUACACACCGCCCGUCGCUCCUACCGAUGAGCGUUUUGGCGAAGACGGUUUGAGUAGCUGUGUAAUUUCGUGUUGUUGACUCCGGCAGUUUGAGCCUUCACGUUUAGAGGAAGGAGAAGUCGUAACA